ensembl:lncRNA
CCAGGUGGAUUUGAUAUUCUUAGGGGAGGCUGUUUAAAAUGACGAAGUGAAGAAGUUCUUUUUGGCACCUUAUUGGGCUUAAAUGGGCAAACACACACAACAUUGAUACAUAUAUUGAAUAACGAUUAAACUGUCUGUAUUUGCAGAAACCAUCCCUAUACAUGUGAUGGGAAAAAAGGGAGGCAGCGUCAUCCUGCCAUGUGAAUUAAAGGCCAGAGAUAUUUUUCAUAUUCGUUUAAACAGACAAUCAAAAAACAUCCUUGUUUAUCAAAAUAAAUACUGCAGUAAAGGAGUAUGUAAAAAAGAAGCCUGUGAUGUCAUCAUCAAUGAUUUGAGCUUCAGUGAUGCUGGGAAAUACAUUUUGGAUAUCUAUUACAUUAAUGCUAAGUCAGUGCUGGAGCCACAAAUCAGGACAUACCAACUACAUAUUUACGAUGAUAUUUUUGUGAAAAUAGGUGAAACGCUAAAGUUGGAUGUUUUGUUGCCAGAUGCUCAUCAAGUUAUGCAUCAAAACAAAAGCAGCACAGAAUGGAAGAAGGUCUGGAAGAGAGACAGCAAGAAAAGAGUUAAAAUAACACACGAUCGACUGAACGACACUGAUGGGACUCUGAGCAUUAAAGAGUUUACGGCUGAUGAUGCAGGAACAUACAGAGUUCUGGGCUAUGAAGGAGAAAUCCUGAUCACAGUGACAGUCACAGAUGAGAAAAGUUCAGUGGAUGUUUAGAAAUAUUAUUUUUAAAGUGAGUUUUAUUCAUCAUGAUUUGAACUGCAAACUGAUGCUAAACUGUGUGAUUAACCUCUCAAUAUCCUCUACAGAUUCAAAGGGAAAACUGAACGACACGGAUGAUGACAAAAAACGUAGUAAGUAAAAUAGCUGCCAUUGAGAGCUCCCAAAAUCUUCAAACAGUAAGCAUAAAAAUGAAAAUAUAUAAACAAAUAUAUAAAUAAAAAUGUUCUUUUUUCCCA